rnacentral:rRNA from 1 species
AACGAACGCUGGCGGCAUGCCUAAUACAUGCAAGUCGAACGAGAUCUUCGGAGCUAGUGGCGCACGGGUGCGUAACGCGUGGGAAUCCGCCCUUGGGUUCGGAAUAACAUCUGGAAACGGAUGCUAAUACCGGAUGAUGACGUAAGUCCAAAGGUUUAUCGCCCAAGGAUGAGCCCGGGUAGGAUUAGCUAGUUGGUGAGGUAAAGGCUCACCAAGGCGACGAUCCUUAGCUGGUCUGAGAGGAUGAUCAGCCACACUGGGACGGAGACACGGCCCAGACGCCUACGGGAGGCAGCAGUAGGGAAUAUGGGGCACUGGGGGUAACCCUGAUCCAGGGAUGCCGCGUGAGUGAUGAAGGCCUUAUGGUUGUAAAGCUCUUUUACCCGGGAUGAUAAUGACAGUACCGGGAGAAUAAGCCCCGGCUAACUCCGUGCCAGCAGCCGCCGUAACAC